AUUGAACGCUGGCGGCAGGCCUAACACAUGCAAGUCGAGCGGCAGCGGAAAGUAGCUUGCUACUUUGCCGGCGAGCGGCGGACGGGUGAGUAAUGUCUGGGAAACUGCCUGAUGGAGGGGGAUAACUACUGGAAACGGUAGCUAAUACCGCAUGACCUCGAAAGAGCAAAGUGGGGGAUCUUCGGACCUCACGCCAUCGGAUGUGCCCAGAUGGGAUUAGCUAGUAGGUGAGGUAAUGGCUCACCUAGGCGACGAUCCCUAGCUGGUCUGAGAGGAUGACCAGCCACACUGGAACUGAGACACGGUCCAGACUCCUACGGGAGGCAGCAGUGGGGAAUAUUGCACAAUGGGCGCAAGCCUGAUGCAGCCAUGCCGCGUGUGUGAAGAAGGCCUUAGGGUUGUAAGGCACUUUCAGCGAGGAGGAAGGCAUCAUACUUAAUACGCGUGGUGAUUGACGUUACUCGCAGAAGAAGCACCGGCUAACUCCGUGCCAGCAGCCGCGGUAAUACGGAGGGUGCAAGCGUUAAUCGGAAUUACUGGGCGUAAAGCGCACGCAGGCGGUUUGUUAAGUCAGAUGUGAAAUCCCCGCGCUUAACGUGGGAACUGCAUUUGAAACUGGCAAGCUAGAGUCUUGUAGAGGGGGGUAGAAUUCCAGGUGUAGCGGUGAAAUGCGUAGAGAUCUGGAGGAAUACCGGUGGCGAAGGCGGCCCCCUGGACAAAGACUGACGCUCAGGUGCGAAAGCGUGGGGAGCAAACAGG
rnacentral:rRNA from 1 species